CGUCAGGACGUGAACGACUGGCGGCGUUGCGUUAACUACGAACUAGCAAGGUCGAACGGGGUAGGCCGUUUGUAAAGAGGAUUACGUCCGAACUUGUAAGAGGUUACCGUAGUGGCGGACGGGUGAGUAACGCGUGAGUAACCUGCCUUGGAGUGGGAAGUAACACAUCGAAAGAUGUGCUAAUACCGCAUAAUGCAGUUGGCCGCAUGGCUCUGACUGCCAAAGAUUUAUCGCUCUGAGAUGGACUCGCGUCUGAUUAGCUGGUUGGCGGGGUAACGGCCCACCCAAGGCGACGAUCAGUAGCCGGACUGAGAGGUUGACCGGCCACAUUGAGACUGAGACACGGCCCAGACUCCUACGGGAGGCAGCAGUGGGGAAUAUUGGGCAAUGGGCGCAAGCCUGACCCAGCAACGCCGCGUGAAGGAAGAAGGCUUUCGGGUUGUAAACUUCUUUUAUCAGGGACGAAGCAAGUGACGGUACCUGAUGAAUAAGCCACGGCUAACUACGUG
rnacentral:rRNA from 1 species